CCUACGGGUGGCUGCAGUGAGGAAUAUUGGUCAAUGGACGAGAGUCUGAACCAGCCAAGUAGCGUGAAGGAUGACUGCCCUAUGGGUUGUAAACUUCUUUUAUAUGGGAAUAAAAUGUUCCACGUGUGGGAUUUUGUAUGUACCAUAUGAAUAAGGAUCGGCUAACUCCGUGCCAGCAGCCGCGGUAAUACGGAGGAUCCGCGCGUUAUCCGGAUUUAUUGGGUUUAAAGGGAGCGUAGGUGGAUAGUUAUGUCAGUUGUGAAAGUUUGGGGCUCAACCGUAAAAUUGCAGUUGAAACUGGCGAGCUUGAGUACAGUAGAGGUAGGCGGAAUUCGUGGUGUAGCGGUGAAAUGCUUAGAUAUCACGAAGAACUCCGAUUGCGAAGGCAGUUCACUGGACUGCAACUGACACUGAGGCUCGAAAGUGUGGGUAUCAAACAGGAUUAGAUACCCGAGUAGUC
rnacentral:rRNA from 1 species